UCCUCCCUCUUUCUUCGUGCUUAACACAUGCAAGUCGAACGGAAAGGCCCUGCUUUUGUGGGGUGCUCGAGUGGCGAACGGGUGAGUAACACGUGAGUAACCUGCCCUUGGCUUUGGGAUAACUUCAGGAAACUGGGGCUAAUACCGGAUAGGAGCUCCUGCUGCAUGGUGGGGGUUGGAAAGUUUCGGCGGUUGGGGAUGGACUCGCGGCUUAUCAGCUUGUUGGUGGGGUAGUGGCUUACCAAGGCUUUGACGGGUAGCCGGCCUGAGAGGGUGACCGGCCACAUUGGGACUGAGAUACGGCCCAGACUCCUACGGGAGGCAGCAGUGGGGAAUAUUGCACAAUGGGCGGAAGCCUGAUGCAGCAACGCCGCGUGCGGGAUGACGGCCUUCGGGUUGUAAACCGCUUUCGCCUGUGACGAAGCGUGAGUGACGGUAAUGGGUAAAGAAGCACCGGCUAACUACGUG
rnacentral:rRNA from 1 species